UACGGGGGGAGCAAGCGUUGUUCGGAUUUACUGGGCGUAAAGGGCGGGUAGGCGGCCACCGCAAGUCGACUGUGAAAUCUCCGGGCUUAACCCGGAAAGGUCAGCCGAUACUGCGGGGCUAGAGUGCAGAAGGGGCAACUGGAAUUCUCGGUGUAGCGGUGAAAUGCGUAGAUACCGAGAGGAACACCUGCGGCGAAGGCGGGUUGCUGGGCUGACACUGACGCUGAACUGCGAAAGCUAGGGGAGCGAACGGG
rnacentral:rRNA from 1 species